rnacentral:rRNA from 1 species
AACGAACGCUGGCGGCAGGCUUAACACAUGCAAGUCGAACGCAUCCUUCGGGGUGAGUGGCAGACGGGUGAGUAACGCGUGGGAACGUGCCCUUCAGUUCGGGAUAACCCAGGGAAACUUGGGCUAAUACCGGAUACGUGCGAGAGCAGAAAGAUUUAUCGCUGAAGGAUCGGCCCGCGUCUGAUUAGCUAGUUGGUGGGGUAAUGGCCCACCAAGGCGACGAUCAGUAGCUGGUCUGAGAGGAUGAUCAGCCACAUUGGGACGGAGACACGGCCCAAACGCCUACGGGAGGAAGCAGUGGGGAAUAUUGGACAAUGGGCGCAAGCCUGAUCCAGCCAUGCCGCGUGAGUGAUGAAGGCCUUAGGGUUGUAAAGCUCUUUCGUCCGGGACGAUAAUGACGGUACCGGAAGAAGAAGCCCCGGCUAACUUCGUGCCAGCAGCCGCGGUAAAAC